UGUGGAGAAGAAUCCCACAAGACAUCCCAUUAGAACAGAAUCCAUUGGAGAGGAGGGAUGAUCCAGUGGUCGAUGAAAGGUCUAGGCUGAGAGCUGGGAGUUCUACAGCAGCCCAAGACUAGUCAAGCGUGAUUUUAGACACCCUGAGUUUUGGCCCUCAGAUUUGAACACCUGACAAGAAUUCAUUUUGCCAGGCUGAAAUUGCUAACAGGUGGUGCCAGGUGACUCUAUUAAAACUGGCUUCUCAGAGGCAGUCAGAAACUUUGCAUCAUUUGCUUUCUGUGUGUCUGGUGGCAGAGACUAUGGAGGACCAAGUUGCAGAACUACUCGACACCCAAAAUUGUACCUAAACGGAAUGGGG
rnacentral:lncRNA from 1 species